GCGCGAUACAGGGUGACAGCCCCGUACACAAAAGCGCAUGUGCUGUGAGCUCGAUGAGUAGGGCGGGACACGUGGUAUCCUGUCUGAAUAUGGGGGGACCAUCCUCCAAGGCUAAAUACUCCUGACUGACCGAUAGUGAACCAGUACCGUGAGGGAAAGGCGAAAAGAACCCCGGCGAGGGGAGUGAAAAAGAACCUGAAACCGUGUACGUACAAGCAGUGGGAGCACAGGUUUACCUGUGUGACUGCGUACCUUUUGUAUAAUGGGUCAGCGACUUAUAUUCUGUAGCAAGGUUAACCGUAUAGGGGAGCCGUAGGGAAACCGAGUCUUAACCGGGCGUUAAGUUGCAGGGUAUAGACCCGAAACCCGGUGAUCUAGCCAUGGGCAGGUUGAAGGUUGGGUAACACUAACUGGAGGACCGAACCGACUAAUGUUGAAAAAUUAGCGGAUGACCUGUGGCUGGGGGUGAAAGGCCAAUCAAACCGGGAGAUAGCUGGUUCUCCCCGAAAGCUAUUUAGGUAGCGCCUCGUGAAUUCAUCUCCGGGGGUAGAGCACUGUUUCGGCUAGGGGGCCAUCCCGGCUUACCAACCCGAUGCAAACUGCGAAUACCGGAGAAUGUUAUCACGGGAGACACACGGCGGGUGCUAACGUCCGUCGUGAAGAGGGAAACAACCCAGACCGCCAGCUAAGGUCCCAAAGUCAUGGUUAAGUGGGAAACGAUGUGGGAAGGCCCAGACAGCCAGGAUGUUGGCUUAGAAGCAGCCAUCAUUUAAAGAAAGCGUAAUAGCUCACUGGUCGAGUCGGCCUGCGCGGAAGAUGUAACGGGGCUAAACCAUGCACCGAAGCUGCGGCAGCGAACGUAUCACCCAAGACAACUUUACGGAGUUGACGAUUGACGGAGCGAAGCGACGUCAAAGCGUUCAUUAAAGUCGAGUUGGCUUAGGGAUACGUUCGUUGGGUAGGGGAGCGUUCUGUAAGCCUGUGAAGGUGUGUCGUGAGGCAUGCUGGAGGUAUCAGAAGUGCGAAUGCUGACAUAAGUAACGAUAAAGCGGGUGAAAAGCCCGCUCGCCGGAAGACCAAGGGUUCCUGUCCAACGUUAAUCGGGGCAGGGUGAGUCGACCCCUAAGGCGAGGCCGAAAGGCGUAGUCGAUGGGAAACGGGUUAAUAUUCCCGUACUUGGUGUUACUGCGAAGGGGGGACGGAGAAGGCUAUGUUGGCCGGGCGACGGUUGUCCCGGUUUAAGCGUGUAGGUGUGUGUUCCAGGUAAAUCCGGUUCACUUUAACACUGAGGCGUGACGACGAGGCACUACGGUGCUGAAGCAACAAAUGCCCUGCUUCCAGGAAAAGCCUCUAAGCAUCAGGUAACAC
rnacentral:rRNA from 1 species